UUGACCAGUGAUGGAAUUUAUUUUGAAUGAAAAAUGAUGAAUAAUCCAAUUCAGCACAACUGACUUCAUUA
rnacentral:snoRNA from 1 species